CUCCAGUUCACCAGGGCAAAGUUCCUGGUCAGGAAAGCAGAAUCAAAACACACUCACGGGUACGUGGUGCAGUAACCAGAAACCCAGGCAGGAAAUGAGAUUGCAUGCCACCAACAGCCAUCCAAUUGUCAGUCUGUCCAACCUGCUGCUACCUGGUGAGAGAUACACUACUAUCUGCUGCCCUGCAGUAUCUGAUUUCACCAUUUUCACCUCCCCCGUGGAGUUUAUCUUUCCACCUGUGUAAGUUAGUUGGUUGGUUGGUCUGUCAGCAGGAUUGUACAAAAACUACAAAACUGAUGUCCAGGAAACUUGGAUGGAGGAUGGAUCUGGGCCAAGAACAGAGCCUGUUAACUUCUGGUGUGGAUCUGAAAUAAAGGAACAGAUCCAGGAUUUUUCUUGAUCUGCCGUAUUUGGAUGUGUGUAUGAGCGGCAGCAGGGUGAACCGGGAUGGGUUCAGGCUGAGCAGACACCUCACCUCUCCGAUGUCACUGAUGCUCUGCCAGUUUGUGAUGUUUCCUGUCAGAAGUCUAUCGCUUGUCUGCAAAAGUUGACAAGAACUUGGCACAGAGCCCUGAAGGACCCCUUUCCUCAAGAAGUAGCUACAGCUUCUGAAUGCAGCGCUUCAGCAGCCAGGUGGAAAAUGACAAGGAACAAAUGAUAGCACAGCAGAAGCCUGGCUGAAAGCUAUUUCAAACCUCGAGAUGAAAGUAGUCCAGCUCGUCUCAUAUGGGUCAUUUUUCCGCUACAAGAGAAAAUGACUCUUUCAGGAGCUUCAUCAAAUAGGUUCCUCUGUACUCCACUGACAUUUUUCAUUACUCCUCUGACAUGGAUUCAUAAUCAUGACAUUUUACUUUGUGUUGUUUUUAUGUGAUAUUGCAAUUCACCUAAUGUCUUUGGUGGCUGUACAGUGAUUUAAACCUCUUAAACCUUCUACGUCUAUUUUAUAUAAAGUGAUCUACUU